GACCGCGCGGGGUGGGGGCGCGGGGCCGCGGAAACUGUGCAGGGAGGCGCAGACGGUGCUGGGAGCGCGCAGUUGGAGAGGUUGCUGAGAGUCUGAUGGGGGAGACACGUGGCCACACAGCCUUGAAAUGCUACUGAGAAGUACUGGUGACAGCCAUUACCUGGAGUAUGGAGGGCUGUGGGAGAGAUCCAGUCUGCUCUGGAGUGCAGGUCAGAGAAGGCUUCCUGGAGGAGGUGAGCUCCACAAUGAGCUUUGAAGGAGAUUGCCCUUGGCUAACAUCCAUCAUGGACAGAGAAAACAUGGCAAAGACGUGAACGGCUUGCUUGGGGAACACUCGGAAUCCAGACUUGGCUCCUAUGUCACUUGUUGGGAGGUGCUCUAGGAUAAAUAGCAUCCUCCCCAACCUAUCACUCCCUCCCCGCUAAUACUGCUACAUUUUUCUGCCUUAUCACCUUU